GAUCAUCCUCAUGUGUGCUAUGAGCUCCUGACUAAGGGAGCUGAUCUGACCCAUCGAAAUGCUCACAAUGUCAGCGCUUAUCAUGCAGCUAUUUUAAAUAAAUCUAGUACAGCUAAAGCUGUUAUCGAGAAUUAUUUGAUACAGCACUGGAUUCUGUAGAUCUUCAGCGAGAGGAUUUGUAUAUAUUUUCCUGUAGGUGUAGUACAAGUAAUAGUCCCACCACAUUUAUCUGAGUUACACUCCAUAAUAAUUUUUGACCAGAGAUGUGUAAAUAUUUUUUUCAAUUUAAUUCUGCUGUUAAUAAUUAAACGAACAAGUUUUAUAUCUACAUAUAUUUUGUGUACAUCCAAACAAUACUAGAUACUAAACAUGUAUGGACUUAUAAAAAGAAGAUAAUGAAUAAACGAAAGAUUGGCUUAA